GACGAACGCUGGCGGCGUGCUUAACACAUGCAAGUCGAACGGAAAGGCCCAGCUUGCUGGGUGCGCGAGUGGCGAACGGGUGAGUAACGCGUAAGUGGUCUGCCCCUAGCUUCGUGCUACGGGUGAGCAACUGGGUCGAGUACCGAAUAGGACAAACGCUGAGUGUCGGGUGUGGAAAGUUUGUUCGGGUAGGGAUGCGCGCGGGGCCUGUCAGCUCGUUGGUGGGGUAAUGGCCUACCAAGGCGGCGGCGGGUAGCCGGCCUGAGUGGGUGGCCGGCCACGUUGGGACUGCGAUGCGGCCCAGCCUCCUACGGGAGGCAGCAGUGGGGAAUAUUGCACUGUGGGCGCACGCCUGAUGCAGCGACGCCGCGUGGGGUGUGAACGCCUUCGGCUUGUAAACCUCUUUCGCCUGGGACGUAGCUUUGGUGACGGUACCUGUAUAAGAAGCGCCGGCUAACUACGUG
rnacentral:rRNA from 1 species